UUUUCAUUACGGUUAAUAUUAAUUUUGUUAAUUAGCUUUACUUGACUCAGUGGCUCUGUCCUGCGAUCGCAUCAGCCUCAGCAGAAUAGUGACAAAUCUAUGGGAUCUAGGGCAAGACCCUUAACCCCCCCCCCCAGCUCCAUGUCACUGCUGCAGGCGGCUGCCCUUCAGUGCCAAGCUUGCUCUCAAUUACAUGUGUGUUACAGAGAGCUGGGGGGGGGGGGGGGGAAUUCUUUAUGGGGUCAAGAAAAGCACCUAUCAUUCAUUUCAUUAAGUUCUGUGACUCUCUGAGCUUCAUAUAUGACUGGGCCACCGUUAAUAUCUCCUAUAGUAACCAAAUACAUGUUUCACUUGUUAACUUGUACAGCCAGUGCAUGUGUUUGUCUGUAUGCGAUUUCAUAGCUAUAUAAUUUGUGAUGAGUUUUUACAGCUAAAGUGUUAAUGAACCGAGUCACGGAAUCUAGGUGGGACCCGGAGAUGUUAACUGUGAAUCAACUGCACGUCUCCGAAAUAUCUCUGCAAGAUAAUUGCUGAAGUGUAAUGUUUAGUGUGGCUAUUACCAGUAAUAUGUAAAGUUUAAAACGAUGUUUAAAAUGAUUAAGAGCAUCUUCGUUUGAUGCAUUCCAGUUCUGCUGCUAUUUGUAUUCGUAACAUAGGUGAUGUAACUUGUCACGUUAGUUUGCGAUUGGACAUUAUGUUUUGACCCAAGUUGCAUUCUGGCGGAUGUCAAAUACAAAGGUUUGGACAGAUGCAGCUCCUUCGCAGAAGUUAAACAUUAAAAUGCCACCAGGACAGGAGUAUUUAUUUCAAAAUAUGCUGCCGAUGAUGCAGUAAUAGGCAGGGGGGGCAGGCCACCUGGGAAAAAUGCAGACAAAGUGUGAAGGGCCCCCGUGGGAGAAUAGCGCCCUCUACAGUAGAGGCAGGAAAGUAGGAGCAGGCUGUAUAAUUUGCAUAAUCAUCUGUGAUCAAAUUUACUGACCGGGGGGGGGUCUCCCCCAGUAAAUAUCAAAGGUACCUGCCUAUUAUCAGUCAAAGUAACCUGGGAAGAUCCUGCCCCCCAGACAAUUCUGAGGAUGGGGGGUGUGUGACGACACGAGUGGACUGUGACCUUAGUACAAAUAAAUAGUUAUUAUCAUGAGAUAAAGUGUGAUUAAGAUGACUGAUGCUGGGGGAAUUCCGAUGCGUACACUGGUGAUCCACCCAUUUCUGUUAGCUACAAUAUCUGACCCCACCGCCUGUUACGUAUUCGUUGUAUGCAGUGCUGUGUACCCUCUGUUUUUAGCUUUCAGUGUAGUCACUUACUGUAGUCUGUAAUCACCAACAAUUUCCCCAGGAAUAACAAAAGUUUUCUAAUUCCGAUAAUCCUUACUUGGAUGUCACUUUGGACAAAGGUCUCUGUUAAUCUAUUAAAUUAAUGUGACCUUACGUAAGUUUUAAUUCUCGUCUAUGUAUAUUCUUGUGCUUAUUACUUCCUAGCUGUUUUCUGCAGUCUUAGUCUUUCCUUUUUUUUAAUCUUUGUCUCGUUGCGAUGUGACAGUCGUAAGUUUCUUUGGAUCCCUGAAAAGCAUUAUUCAAAUGAAACAUAUUAUUAUUAUGAUUAUUAUUCCUUGUGGAGUGAUCUCUAGUUAAGCGGUUACUGAAAUUUAGGAUUAACUGAUUUGUUGAUGCUAACAAAUGAUAAUGACUCUUUAUUAAUCCCCAUGGGGAAAUUGCCUUUUUACACCUCCCUCUGUGAACUUGCUCUUUGUGGAGUAAGUUGUCUGUGAAGGGCAGCCACCCGUAGCAGCGCCCAGGGAGCUGGGGAGGGUUAAGGGCCUCGCUCAAGGCCCUGCGAAUGUGCUGAGGUUGGGUUUAAACCGGCAACCUUAUGAUUACAGGCACACAGGCUUAGUUCACGGUGCCACACGCUGCCCCGAAUGUAAGUGCACCCGCGAGUUUGAUUGGCCCAUCACAGACGACCAUGAACAGCCAGUUGACAAAGGUGUCGGGAUUCAGGGAUGUGGCCCAUAGCCUGCAUAGCUGGGGGGUUUUCGCUGAGAAAUCAUGCACUUUUUGGUGUAUGGAGCAUGGAGUAAAGGGCACCACCGAUCUCGACAUCUCAAGUGUGAAGUUUUAAAGAACAAGAGUGUGUCUGGGUUUCUGCAGUGUGAUCGAUUUCUUCAGUGAAACCUCCGGUUCUUUAAGUUGAACGAUGGGGCAGGUUCCUUAAGCUUAAGCAGUUUAUUAAGACAGAAUGAAGAUGGAGCCGGGGGGUCAGACGGCCUUGGGGAGAGUAAGUUGUAUGAGAGGCAAAGAACAUGAUGAGCAAGUAGCAAGGACAGAAAGAAAUAUAAAUAUAAGAAAUAUGAAAGCUACAAAUUAAUGAACUAAAUGAACAUAAUUAUAUAACUACAAAUUAACUAGGGAAACCCCUCAAGUGGCAGUAGUACUGGAAACAAUAGGCUGUUUGUUUUCAGGUUGCCAUCUUGAUGGGCAGCUCUAAGCAGUCUAUCUCCCACGAUCGUAAGCAAAACUUUAUUCGGCAAAACGGGAUCUGAAACACGCGCCCGGAACACCCCGUGCACCGCUUCCAUUGUGGCCCCUUGACGCCUCUUUCGAGCAGAGAGGAAUGGCGACUGGGCGUCAUGGAACGCAUUCGGUGCGGCGCGGCCGCCGUCUGCGUGUCAUCAUCAGGGUGACAGAAGCUUGUCACUCUCUCUUCUCGUUUCUACUUACGUCAAGCUCCUCAUCGACUUCUCCUUUUGCCCCGUUUCUCUGGCUGAGAGCAGAGCCCUUAAACCCCAGCGCAUUUCUUUGGACAUUUGCGUGGGCGGCUGAACAACGGUCAGAAUGUAUAAGACGUUAAUAUUUUUUUUCAAUUGGAAGGGCCCUUGAUUUUCCAGUGACUCAUUUCCGAAAGACUGGUAUUUUUUAUCCUUCGACGUUUAAGUGUAAGUUUCAGCACCAGAAAAACAUUCAGUUUAGGGAAACCCUUUUCUGAAAUGUCAAGCAGAACAAGAAAUCUCAGGAAAAUCCCUUAAUUUACGAAGGAUUUAAACUAUCCGUGUCAGUGCCAAAAUCUAUCCAGAAAAAAGUAAAAAACAAAAACCAAAAUUAUCAACUGUGUCCUGUGAUGGACUGACAUCCCCCCUAGGGUGUACCCCAGCCCUGUACCCUGUGAUGGACUGACAUCCCCCCAAGGGUGUACCCCAGCCCUGUACCCUGUGAUAGACUGGCAUCCCCCCUAGGGUGUACCCUAGCCCUGUACCCUGUGAUGGACUGACAUCCCCCCUAAGGUGUACCCCAGCCCUGUACCCUGUGAUGGACUGACAUCCCCCCUAGGGUGUACCCCAGCCCUGUACCCUGUGAUGGACUGACAUCCCCCCUAGGGUGUACCCCAGCCCUGUACCCUGUGAUGGACUGACAUCCCCCCUAAGGUGUACCCCAGCCCUGUACCCUGUGAUGGACUGACAUCCCCCCUAGGGUGUACCCUAGCCCUGUACCCUGUGAUGGACUGACAUCCCCCCUAAGGUGUACCCCAGCCCUGUACCCUGUGAUAGACUGACAUCCCCCCUAAGGUGUACCCCAGCCCUGUACCCUGUGAUGGACUGACAUCCCCCCUAGGGUGUACCCUAGCCCUGUACCCUGUGAUGGACUGACAUCCCCCCUAGGGUGUACCCUAGCCCUGUACCCUGUGAUGGACUGACAUCCCCCCUAGGGUGUACCCCAGCCCUGUACCCUGUGAUAGACUGGCAUCCCCCCAAGGGUGUACCCCAGCCCUGUACCCUGUGAUAGACUGGCAUCCCCCCUAGGGUGUACCCCAGCCCUGUACCCUGUGAUAGACUGGCAUCCCCCCUAGGGUGUACCCUAGCCCUGUACCCUGUGAUGGACUGACAUCCCCCCUAGGGUGUACCCCAGCCCUGUACCCUGUGAUAGACUGGCAUCCCCCCAAGGGUGUACCCCAGCCCUGUACCCUGUGAUAGACUGGCAUCCCCCCUAGGGUGUACCCCAGCCCUGUACCCUGUGAUGGACUGACAUCCCCCCUAGGGUGUACCCUAGCCCUGUACCCUGUGAUGGACUGACAUCCCCCCUAGGGUGUACCCCAGCCCUGUACCCUGU